rnacentral:rRNA from 1 species
AGCUUGCUCCGGCUGACGAGUGGCGGACGGGUGAGUAAUGCAUAGGAAUCUGCCCAGUAGCGGGGGACAACGUUGGUAGAAAACCAAGCUAAUACCGCAUACGCCUACGGGGGAAAGCAGGGGAUCUUCGGACCUUGCACUAUUGGAUGAGCCUAUGUCUGAUUAGCUAGUUGGUGGGGUAAUGGCCCACCAAGGCAACGAUCAGUAGCUGGUUUGAGAGGAUGAUCAGCCACACUGGGACUGAGACACGGCCCAGACUCC